UCAGCAUUUCCAAGAAUGUUCAAACAGUGCCAAACUGCUGGAACUACAUUGCUUCUCAUUGCAAUGCCUAGGAAUCCAUGCAUGAUCAGUAAUGCAGUUCUUUACAGGGCUAACAAAAUUCCAGUUGUCCCCGGCUACACCAGUGUGUCUCCCAGAUGGGAAGAUAAUUGUUUGGUGGUGAUCUAGGCUGUAAUUAGGGUUACUUGUUUCCUGAUCUGUUCAGGUCUGUCUUCUGCUUCAUUGGGAAUGCCAGCCCCAUGCUUAUGUUUCUGUCCCAUGUUGGUGGUCAUCAGUUUAAUAAUGGUCUCUCCCACCAUGUUGGUCCUUCUGUCUAUAAUGGAUGGGCCAAUAGUCCCAUAUGGAGCCCAGCUCUAUGCCUGAGGCCUGAGUCAGGCCACUAGAGGGCUCCCUUGCACCACUUGACAGCCUUUGGUUGCCAGCUCACACUCCUUGUUCCCCGGCAGCUUUCUAAGGGCCUGGUACAGAAAAAGCACUUCUUGCCUUGGAAAGACUAGGUUGGUGCAAAAUGAGUGACCAAAGCUCACAGAUAUGCUUCGCCUCCAGAACCACCUUUGGUUACCUUUGAUGUGGUUACAGAGUGAAGACACCAAACUAUCUUACUGUAGCCCCACCACAAAAUCACUAUAAACACAUAAUAGUUUUCAAAACAUGGUUUAGAAACACAGUUUUAAAUGAAACUCAUAGGGACCACUCCCUUUCUAAUCAGAUUAUAAUAUACAAGCCCUUCUAUACAAAAAUCCUGGAGCUGCCACUUCCCAGGAGAAACCCUGGCCCAGGCCCUAACGAUCAAGAAGGGGUUUCUGGGGCUUUCUAUCCAGGGAAGGGAUGGUGCCAGAGCUAGUGUAUAGCCCUGGGACCCCUACAAAAUAAGAUGGCCUUUCUGCAUGGUACUAGUUUUUGGCAGGUGAAUGAGGAACCCUCGACAACUUUGAAGGCUGGAAGAAGGUGCAAGGCGGUAUCCUGUCCAAACCAUCCCAGGUAAGACCACUCAGCUGAUUGAGAGAGCAAGAGAAGGAUUGAGGUAAGGGUUAGCUGAGGGUGGAGACCCCAAAUCCAGAUCUAAAAUCUCAGCUGAAGGGGGACAUACUUAAUUUGGGUCCCCUGAAAGCAGAGCAUGUGACAGGGACUUGGGGGAAGAAGGUAGUUUAUGUGGAAGGUGAUCUGUAUUAGAAAAAUACCACAAACUUAUUAUAAUAAUAGAAAUUUAUUCUCUUACAAUUUAUGGAGUCUAGAAGUCUGAAAUCGAGGUGUUCGUGGGGCCAUGCUCCCUCUGAAGCCUCUAGAAGAGGAUCCUUCCUUGCCUUUCCUAAAUGCUGGUAGCCCCAGAUGUUCCUUGGCUUAGAGCUGCAGCGCUUCGUCUCUGCCUGUCACCAUGUGGCACUCUCCUUGUGCAUCUGUGUCCAAAUUUGCCUCUUAUAAGGACACCAGUCAUAUUGGAUAUGGCCCACCCUAAUGUUCUCAACUUGAUUACAUCUGGAAAGACCCUGUUUCCAUGUAAGGCCAUAUUCGCAAGAACCAGGGUUUGGGACUUCAGCAUAUCUUUUGGGGGGAGACAGUCAACCCAUAAUAUGAUCCAAGAAGCAGACGUGAAGACGAGGGAGGAAAAUCAAUACAAUCUAAGGUAUUAAACUGGUUAUUUACGUGCCACUGAGAACCCUCUAGGAACUGUGUAAAAUACCCCUCAGAAUUCUGAAAGACCAAAGCUGGGACAUUUAAUCAGUUCUUCCACUGGUUGAAGAAUGUCUUAGAAGGUUAACUUCCUCCUACUUGUAGACUGCAUCCACAGGUGGACGACGUGUCGUUUCCUGGCCAAUAAGGAGAACUUGAGAUAAGAGUAAUAUGCAUGAAACUGUCCACUACCACCAGGCAGAAGACAGGAGGCCACGUGCUAUGACACAGGGCACCAAAAGAUUCUGCAGAGCAGAAGCUUUCUGAUGAGCAUUGACAUGACACGUAAAGAUCUGCACAAUCUGACAUCUCUCCUGUGAGUCCAUCCAUGCACCUUUUCCCCAGGCUUCCUUCUCCAGUACUCCAAUCUUGCUUCAUGUGAUUGAGUUAUUCUCUGCUGUCCAGAAGUCCAUGUACAUUCUUGCCUCAGGCCAUGCCUCCCUACAUGCGAAGUUGAUGGACAAGUGUACUGCUCAGUAGAAGGAUUUCCGUCACUGCUCACCUUUAGGACUUGUCCUGAGUAUGUGGUAUGGCCGCAAUUCAUUUUUGUUUUGUACCAUUGUAUGAAGUCAACCCAAACAGA